AGAGGCCUCAGAAAAAAAUCUCUCCCAGGCCUGCUUCUGAAACUCCAGCCUCUUGCUAUUUGAAGUGUUGGUAUCAGUUAUUUUGUAGAUCAGUGUCCACAUCUCCCUUUGCAGAUUUGACGGGAAGGCGAAAGGUUAGCUGGGCAUAGAGCCCGUCUUCUCCCUCCAUUUUUUUUCGUCCUUGAGGUGACCAUUGGCAUGACAGACAGCAACCUGGCAGUCUAUGCACAGAUGAAAUUUAAGUUGCCGUAUUUUUCCCAUCCUGUUUGUGGAGAAAUAAGCGAACUGCUUCUACCUAGGACUAGGGAACAAUUUCCAAUUUCAAGGCAGUGGCAUCAAAUUGUUUUAGGUGGGCUGAUAUUUUUUUCUGUCCCGGGCCAAUGCUGGAGUCAUGAAAACUGGGCAUGUUAUAAAAAUGUUGCUCUUGAUGGGUGGUAGUGAUGGACAGAGUUUGGGUUUCCAUGAUGCUGAAUUUUGUUUGCCGACAAAUGAACACACUAUUGCGAAGAAGCCUAUAAUAGCCACCUUGCCCCCCCCCCCCCCCGGUAUCUGUGUUAAUUAAGGAUGCCGCAUUGAUGGCCAAAAAAGAACUUUUAUUAGCUUCAUUGCCUGGAGGAGAUUUUGACUCGCUAUAGCUGAGUAGCAAAUGGAUUGUCACUGCCUCCACCUCUUCCUGCCUGGCCAACUGCAGAGCACGCAUGCAGUCGCUCUGACUCUGAGAUUAAUAGGGAGUCCUUGAUGAGAUCUCAGAAAACCUUCCAAGGCACCAUCAUAUGGUCUCUGGUUUUUCCUUACUAGCCUUAUCGGUCCCCCUGGUUAAAAGAAACCUAUGUAUAAGUUUGUACAUAAAAUUUCUGAACAA